rnacentral:rRNA from 1 species
CUCAGGAUGAACGCUAGCGACAGGCCUAACACAUGCAAGUCGAGGGGCAGCACAAGGAGCAAUCUGAGGUGGCGACCGGCGCACGGGUGAGUAACACGUAUGCAACCUGCCUGUAAGCGGGGAAUAACCCGUUGAAAGACGGACUAAUACCGCAUAAUACUAAAUUACUGCAUGGUAAUUUAUUUAAACAUUUAUGGCUUACAGAUGGGCAUGCGCAUGAUUAGCUAGUUGGAGAGGUAACGGCUCCCCAAGGCAACGAUCAUUAGGGGUUCUGAGAGGAAGGUCCCCCCACACUGGUACUGAGACACGGACCAGACUCCUACGGGAGGCAGCAGUGAGGAAUAUUGGUCAAUGGACGAGAGUCUGAACCAGCCAAGUCGCGUGCAGGAAGAAUUGUCCUAUGGAUUGUAAACUGCUUUUGCAGGGGAAUAAAGUGCAUCACGUGUGAUGUUUUGUAUGUACUCUGCGAAUAAGGACCGGCUAACUCCGUGCCAGCCGCAGC